rnacentral:rRNA from 1 species
ACUUUAUUAAGAGUUUGAUCCUGGCUCAGGACGAACGCUGGCGGCACGCUUAACACAUGCAAGUCGAACGAGCGAAAGGUGCUUGCACCUCUAGCUAGUGGCGGACG